AUUUCUUUAAACUAAAAAGUUAUUUGGUGAAUGUUACAGUUGCAUAGUAAAAAUAGAUGGUUCCAUCUGUUUAUUUAUCAAAAAUAACUUUAUUUUAUAUUUAUUUUUAAAAAAUAAAUAUUUUUAGUAUUUUUGAAUAUUUAUGAAUGACAUAAUUUAUUUAUUUUUGUAUUUUUUGAUGUAUCAAUUAUUAUUAAAAGAAAUAAUGAUAAAUUUUUUAAAGAGUACUAAAAUUUAUCAAU
rnacentral:lncRNA from 1 species